UAGACUAGUUCAUUGACAUUUGAAUAUUGUUGUCGAGGGGCGCGUCGGAAGGGUGUGGGUUUUGUUUAUUAUUUCAUAUUUAGUAGCGGCGCGAAAUGAGGUAUAAUUUCUAACUUUAAAGUUACAAAGAAUUGAACUACGCAAUGGGUUGUACUCAAAGUGAAAUAUCUCCCCAAGAGGAAACUCCGAAAAAGGGCUGCACCGAUGUUUUGUGGCUCAUUAUUUAUAUUUUGUUUUGGAUUUUAAUGAUAAUUGUGGCUUCAAUAUCUUUUGUGUAUGGAAAUCCAUUAAGAGUUAUAAAUGGAUUUGAUUCUUUUGGUAAUACAUGUGGAGUUAAAAGCAAUCACAAACUCACACCGGCUCCAGUAUCUGGCAUAAGCACUGUGGACAAAAAGUUUUUGUUCUUCAUGGAUGUUAAAGAGCUGCAGAGAUCUCUUAAAAUAUGUGUCAAGGAGUGUCCCAACAAAAGACUGGAUUCUCUGGCUGAUAUACAGAAGUUUUAUAAGGAGACAGGAUCAAACAUCUGCCGCUAUGACGUAAAUUUGAAUAAGAUAACAAGUGACAUAGAGCACAGCUACAUUGGGCCGUGUCCUACAUUACCAGUGUAUGAGACAUUCCCCCUCCUGAAUAGAUGCUUCCCUAAAUCAGCAAAGGAUCUCACUACAAAAGUGUUCACUGACUUCUAUGACUUACUCAACAGUUGGGACACCAUUGAGCAAAUGCUUUCAGAUCUGUAUUCCUCUUGGAUGGAGAUGAUAAUAUGUGUAAUUAUAGCAUUUAUUUGUUCUCUAAUCAUGGUCUCAAUAUUGCAUUUAGUGGCAAGUUUGGUAUCAUGGAUUUUCAUGAUAUUGGUGUCAAUAGCUAGUGUAGCUGGGACAGCACUUCUGUGGUACACUUACCAUGAAUUGAAGAGUAAACAUAAGACAUACGAAAUUGCAUAUUUAUCUGAGUCCCUCAAGAACGAAACUGCAUUUUUGUGGUAUUCAAUUAUAGCCACUAUAAUUACGGUGAUUUUACUACUGUUGGUGUUUGUAAUGCGAUCCCGCGUGUCGUUCUUGGCAGCACUUUUCAGAGAAACUGCGCAUUGCCUCGGAUCAAUUCCCGCCCUUUUCUUACAACCUAUUAUCACUUUCUUCUUCCUUAUUCUAUUCUUAGCAUUUUGGUCUAUUGUUGUGGUAUGUUUGGCAACAGCAAACUACCCGGGUAUACCGUUCCAAACAAACUUCCUACUCAAUGGAUCAGGCCCGACGCAGUAUGAGCCCACCGCUAAAACAAAUAUGGCUGCACAAAAUGGCAAUUCCAGUCUCAAAACUUUCACUCUAGAAAACAUUGAGUUUGACCCUAUGUGGGUGAAGAGUAUGUGGUGGAUAUGUCUGGUGUGUUUGAUCUGGGGCAGCGAGUUCAUACUGGGCUGUCAACAGAUGACCAUCGCUGGAGCUGUCUCCCAUUGGUAUUUCAGAGGGCCAAAUGCAAAUUCGUCGCCAGUGUUAUAUUCGAUCGGCAAGCUAAUAAAAUACCAUUUAGGUUCAGUGGCCAAGGGAUCUUUCCUGAUAACCCUGUUCAAGAUACCUCGUCUAAUUCUGACGUAUUUACAUGCCAAGCUGUCGUCUAGAGCUGAAAAGGGUUCUGAGUGUGCAAAAUGUGGCCUGAAGUGUGGAAUAUGCUGCUUUUACUGUCUUGAGAAGUUCAUUCGUUAUUUGAACCAUAACGCCUACACUAUUAUAACGAUUGAGAGAUGCCACUUUUGUAAGGCUGCUGGCAAGGCUUUCAGCACGAUAGUGAACAACGCGCUUCAAGUGGCCACAAUUAAUAGCGUGGGUGACUUCAUACUGUUUCUGGGCAAGUGCAUUGUGACGGCGGUGACUGGCAUCAUCGGCCUUCUACUCUUGAAACGCAACAAAGAACUGCACUUCUUUGCUAUCCCGACACUAGUUAUAUGCAUCUACUCGUUCUUCAUUGCACACUGUAUACUUUCUCUUUAUGAGAUGGUAGUUGACUCAUUGUUCCUCUGUGUAUGCGAGGACCGCAAUAUGAACGGUAAUGACGGAAGAUGGAAGAACACUCGAUUAGCUGAACUCGGCGGCCAUAGACAAGCUAAAGGCGACGAACAAGAUGGCGCUGAGUUGCAGGACAUGCCAGAAAAGUACUGAAACUCGAAGCCUAUUGAGUUUGGGGCCUAUGCAUGUCUGUUCAGUGCCUUAUAGUGGUUACCGGCUGCGAAUUAUGUAAAAUUGGCAGCUUUAGAGUUAAGAAGAAUUUUACGCUUUUACUCAAAUUCCAUAAUGCAUUUUUAGUGUUUUAUUAUAAUUGUAAUCAAAUUGUCAUCUCUUAAAUGUGUCUUUACAAUAUUUUUAACUUAUUAUCUUGCAUAAUAUUUGACGAUGGUGCAUUUUAACGUAAAGGAGUAAUGGUACUCUAUUUUGACAUUAUAAAAACAUUUCUAAGGAGAAUAUUGAUACUUUUAAAAAGUAUUGUGUAUGUUUUGUGGAAUGUUUACAUAACUUUUAGAAAUGUUUAUGAUGUGCAUGCACAACAAAAUUAUUUUUUUGCAAACCGUAUUUCUACAGUAGCGCUCCCUAGACAGUCAGUAGAAUUGCGCAAUAUUUGCAAUUGAAAUGUUGUUUCCUAAAACUUAGGACUAGGGAUCGCCUAAAAAGAUCUAAAUCUGUAAUCUCUUUGUGUCAUAUUAUUUGACUGCUUGCCACAAGCAACAUUCAUGGUAACUGUGAUUUUCCUGCACUUUUGACUGUGUGAUUGCAUUCCACUUGUUUAUCUACACGAAAUAGUAUUUUAAAGAAUCAUGCUGGUGUACAAUAAUAUGACCACCACUGGAUCUGUGACUAAAAAUAAUCUUGAAUCUAAUUUAACGAAUGAAGGCUAAGUUUAAGUACAAUUUUUAUUUAAACAUAAUUUAUAUGCAUAAUUUUUGCUUUAUACAAUGUAUUAGAUGUUAUUUUUUCAACAAAUAAUAUUUUUAUAAUUUAAAAAUGAACUGCACAAAAAUAUAUUUUUGCAAUUAGUGCCUAAACAAACGGCAAUCAACUGAGAUAUUUUUGAAGCAUAAUAAUUCUUUCAUAAUAAUUACAAUGCAAAAUCGUAAAGCCUAGUUUUUAAGUAUUAAUUUAUAGGAUUUAUGACCGUCCAUAUAUAAUACCUGCUUUAUAUUUAUAAAUAAAAUGUAACACGCAUAAUAUUUUUGCUGAAUCUCUGAUUGUCAACAUGGGCUCAUUAAUAAGUUUUAGUUUUAUGACAAUGUUAAUUUAAAAUACAUCCAACUUUUUAAUGUUCUAUUGAAUAUUUUUAUGUGUAAGUGUAGUGCUUUAUUUUUUAUGCAUUUUUUACUUUUUUAAUGAAUUAAUUUAACUAUCAUUUACAUGUUCUAUUGAACAUUUAUACAUUUUAUUGUAGUCUAUUUAUGUGAAUUAGUACACUCAUACUAAAGCUAGUAAAAAUAUUGCAAUUGUUAAAAUAUUUACCUCAACCUAGCUCUUCCAAUAGUAUCCAGGGAAUCUAACUCAUCAGAAAAGAAGAAAGGAAAUAUUUAAAUAAUAAUCACUUGUGUGGAAAAUAAAUUUUAUUAAGAUUUA
rnacentral:misc_RNA from 1 species